AGAGGGAUAGCUGGGUCAAAUGCUGUUUCCAUUCCCAGAUUUCCAAGGAAUUUCCAUACUGCUUUCCAUAUUGGCUGCACCAAUUUGCAGUCCCACCAGCAAU
rnacentral:pre_miRNA from 1 species